AAAAACUUAUAGACGAUGCAAACUAAUGUUUCAUAUUAUAAAUUUAAUAAAAAUUUAAUAAAAAGCCUAACAUCAAAUAUAAUUGUUUUCAAUAAAUAAGAAAAAAACAUUAAAAAUAAAAAUAAAUAACUCAAGAUGUGUAGAACUAGAACAAUAGUUGAUGAUCUUAGUUCAAGAGACAGUGAAAAAUUUGUAGAAAGAUAAAAAAUUUUAAAUGAUCUUAGCCCAAGAGGCAAGAAGUAAAAAAUUUAUAGAAAGAUGAAAAAUUUUAGAUAUCUUAGCUCUAGAGAAAAAUUUUGGAUGAUCUUAGCCCAAGAGACAAGAAGUGACUAAUUUAUAAAAAGAUAGAAAUUUUAGAAGAUCUUAGUUCAAGACAAAAAAUUUUAGAUGAAAAGUUGAGAGAAAAUCAGACACAAUAGCUUAAAACUCUCCAAAUUAGAAACAGAUCAUGAGGAAGAACUCCGGCCUCCCAUCUGAAAAAAAAAAGUGAGGUAACGGUAAAUAAUGGCCGUUACUGUGAAGGCCGGCUGUUACAGCUGCAAAUUUUUUUCUGCCUUUAAAAAUGGGUGUAACGGUGACGGAAGGCUUAAAAACCUAUAAAUAUUAUGGCUGUUAUUUAAAACCGAUAAGUUGCUUCAUUUUGGCACUCCAUAAAGCUUGUAAUAUAGGAAGGUUCAUAGAUGUAAAUAAUCUUUACUCAUUUAGUAAUGCUAUAAUUUUUUUUUUAUGAUAUUAUUCAUCUCUCAAUUGUACUGAUUAGACGAACCCUUUAGAUUUUUUGUGGGGGGUUGGGGAUUUGAGAAUCACUUCAGUUGAAUUCUGGCUAUCCAGUUUUAGUUCUGCAAGAUAGGUAAAAUAAAUAGAUGCAACUUGCAGCCAUGUUUGGACGCUGUUGAUUAAUUAAUGACAUAUGAUUAAGUUCUUAUAAGUUUGUGAUUCUUGUUAAUGAAUCCCCUCAGCAAUAUUGAUACAUCAGAGGUAUCAAGUAUUGAAAGGUGGGCCUGGUAAAAUCUGUUUGACACGGUGGUUCCUUGCCUACAAACAAGCUGCAUUAAGCUAUAACCAAGUUAUCUUUCAUAUGUACUCUCAUGUUUAGUCUCCUUCACAUGAAUGCCCAUAGCAACACAGCCGGUGUAUUAUCUUGUUAAUCAUGGUUUGCAUUGUAUAUGAGUUGGCUAAUGGGCAGUGAACAUUUUUGUAGAAACGUGAAGCAAAAUUUUUCCUUUAUCUUGAAGUUCUAUAUUUUUUGUUCCUUUAUCUUGAAGUUCUAUAUUUUUUGUUCUCAUCAUAAUUCCAAGAAUGAAAACUGUUAAAUAAGUUUAGAAUUUUGAUAUUUGAGGAUCACUUCUUCUGAAAAUUUCCCAAUUUCUUGAUAUUUCAAUCAUACAAAUAACUCUCACUUUUGUUCUUUUCACUUUCCUAAAUCCACAUUUGCUCCUAUAAUUCAUCGGCUAUGAAAACUUUACUUGAUACUAGUUUCUUGUUCUUUCUACUAGGUUUUGAUGAUAUGGAUAGCAUAUAUGCUUCUCCUGAGGAUUUUAAAAGCAUGAAACAGAGGGACAGGGUGAGAGGACUUCAUCUGCUGGAGUACUUUGUCAAUAGAUGUCAUCAGAUUGGGGUAAUAGAAUGUUUCUUUUGUGCAUGUGCUGGUCUGAUGCAUACAUUUGGGCUAAUUCAUUUGUAGCUUCCAACUACAAAUUUAUAUGUUGUUAAGGUCAAUUUAGAUUAACAGGAUUGCAUAUAUAAAUUUCCAAUAAGUUCAAUUAGGUUUGGUUUUAAUUUUCAUUGGUUUUUACUGAAUUCCUGUAGGUUGCUUGUGAAGCAUGGAUUAAGAGUGGUGAUCCCAAGGAAGUAAUCUGCCAUGAAGUGAAACGAGUCCUGCCUGAUUUCCUCGUUGUUGGAUGCCGUGGUCUUGGUCCUUUCCAGAGGUAUAGUCGCUCAUUUUGUUCACAAUACUGUGUGGUCCUAGACAGUAGAUACAACACUUGAUUGUACCAAUGCAGUGAACUGAUAAUACUCAAAAACCCUUUUUCAUGCACAUUAUCAGGAUGUGUAUUUGAGAUUUGAUCUUUUGGAAUGGAAUUAUGGUUAUACAAAGAAUUUGCCACUUAUUAAGAACUUUUCUUCUGCUGAUCUAACUUGCAGGGUUUUUGUUGGAACUGUGAGCGAAUUUUGCCAGAAGCAUGCUGAGUGCCCUGUUAUCUCAAUCAAACGUAGGGCUGAAGAAACUCCUCAAGAUCCUGUUGAUGACUAACUUUAUCUUGCUCUAUUGAUUAUUUCCACUGUGUUGAUAGGCUUCACACUAGGGAUGCCUAUGAACAAGGCCAAUGGUGGAAAAUUAAGUGUAUUUGUUCUGUUAUAUUUCUGAUGGCUGCACAGUACUGAUGUAAAGAAAUAUCCAUUACCUAUUUGUUGGAAAUAUAUCUGCUUUCAC
rnacentral:misc_RNA from 1 species